GAAGGGUGGCAGAGUGGUCGAUCGCGACGGUCUUGAAAACCGUUUGGCCCGCAAGGGUCACGAGGGUUCGAAUCCCUCCCCUUCC
rnacentral:tRNA from 1 species